ACUCAAAUGAAUAGACGGGGGCCCGCACAAGCAGUGGAGUAUGUGGAUUAAUUCGAUGCAACGCGAAGAACCUUACCAGGUCUUGACAUCCUGCUAACGAAGUAGAGAUACAUUAGGUGCCUUUCGGGGAAAGCAGAGACAGGUGGUGCAUGGUUGUCGUCAGCUCGUGUCGUGAGAUGUUGGGUUAAGUCCCGCAACGAGCGCAACCCUUAUGAUUAGUUGCUACGCAAGAGCACUCUAAUCAGACUGCCGUUGAUAAAACGGAGGAAGGUGGGGAUGACGUCAAAUCAUCAUGCCCUUUAUGAUCUGGGCUUCACACGUACUACAAUGGCGGUCUAACAGAGGGGCGCGAAGGAGCGAUCUGGAGCAAAUCCCUAAAAAUCGCCUCAGUUCAGAUUGCAGGCUGCAACUCGCCUGCAUGAAGUUGGAAUUGCUAGUAAUCGCAGAUCAGCAUGCUGCGGUGAAUACGUUCCCGGGCCUUGUACACACCGCCCGU
rnacentral:rRNA from 1 species